rnacentral:rRNA from 1 species
AGCGAACGCUGGCGGCAGGCCUAACACAUGCAAGUCGAACGAACCUUUCGGGGUUAGUGGCGGACGGGUGAGUAACACGUGGGAACGUGCCUUUAGGUUCGGAAUAACUCAGGGAAACUUGUGCUAAUACCGAAUGUGCCCUUCGGGGGAAAGAUUAAUCGCCUUUAGAGCGGCCCGCGUCUGAUUAGCUAGUUGGUUGAGGUAAUGGCUCACCAAGGCGACGAUCAGUAGCUGGUCUGAGAGGAUGAUCAGCCACAUUGGGACUGAGACACGGCCCAAACUCCUACGGGAGGCAGCAGUGGGGAAUCUUGCGCAAUGGGCGAAAGCCUGACGCAGCCAUGCCGCGUGAAUGAUGAAGGUCUUAGGAUUGUAAAAUUCUUUCACCGGGGACGAUAAUGACGGUACCCAGAGAAGAAGCCCCGGCUAACUUCGUG